AGCAGUCGGGGGGAAUAUUGCACAAUAGGGCGCAAGCCUGAUGCAGCCAUGCCGCGUGUGUGAAGAAGGCCUUCGGGUUGUAAAGCACUUUCAGUCGUGAGGAAGGUAGUGUAGUUAAUAGCUGCAUUAUUUGUACGUUAGCGACAGAAGAAAGCACCGGCUAACUCCGUGCCAGCAGCCGCGGUAAUACGGAGGGUGCGAGCGUUAAUCGGAAUUACUGGGCGUAAAGCGCAUGCAGGUGGUUUGGUUUAAGUUCAGAUGUGAAAGACCCGGGGCCGUCAACCUCCGGAAUUAGCAUUUGUAAACUAGGCAGACUAGAGUACUGUAGAGGGGGGUAGGAAUUUCAGGUGUAGCGGUGAAAUAGCGUAGAGAUCUGAAGGAAUACCGGUGGCGAAGGCGGCCCCCUCGGACAGAUACUGACACUCAGAUGCGAAAGCGUGGGGAGCAAACAGGAUUAGAUACCCUGGUAG
rnacentral:rRNA from 1 species